rnacentral:lncRNA from 1 species
CGGAAUUCAUUUGAAGAGCACGCGAUGCUUACAUUUUGGCAGAAUAGCGAGCGGUAAGGCGGAUGCAACCGGUAUGCAGCGUUGAUCCAGGGGAAUCGAAAUUGUUUCGGCGUCGGCAUGUUUUCUUAAAGCAUUGCAGAGAUGACCUGAAGUGUUUUUAGCACGAAUUCACAGCUUCAACAGCAGCAUCUUUCAACUGAGUGCUGGCAUUGAGUGAUUCACUUCAGAUGAAAAACUAAAGCCACAUCCCAGGGUCAGUGGCUUUCCCAGGAACGCUUAGGACGUAAGAAUGCAUACUUAUCAUCCUUCACACUCACACAGCACGGCUCCCACAAAUGGAAAGAGCUGCUGAAGGGCCCUUUAAUGAAGAUUACAAACACCACAGUAUAGAAGAGGAAAGUAGCUCUAUCAAAGCCAGCUGUUGCGUAGCUAC